rnacentral:rRNA from 1 species
CACGUAGGAGGCGAGCGUUGUCCGGAAUCAUUGGGCGUAAAGAGCGCGCAGGCGGCUUGGCAAGUCGGGUGUGAAAUCCCGGGGCUCAACCCCGGGACUGCAUUCGAUACUGUCAGGCUAGAGGUAGGUAGGGGAGAUCGGAAUUCCUGGUGUAGCGGUGAAAUGCGCAGAUAUCAGGAGGAACACCGGUGGCGAAGGCGGGUCUCUGGGCAGUAACUGACGCUGAGGAGCGAAAGCGUGGGGAGCAAACAGG